GACGAACGCUGGCGGCGUGCUUAACACAUGCAAGUCGAACGGUAAGGCCUUUCGGGGUACGACGAGUGGCGAACGGGUGAGUAACACGUGGGUAAUCUGCCCUGCACUUCGGGAUAAGCUUGGGAAACUGGGUCUAAUACCGGAUAGGAGCUUUCACCGCAUGGUGGGGGUUGGAAAGUUUUUCGGUUGCAGGAUGUGCCCGCGGCCUAUCAGCUUGUUGGUGGGGUAAUGGCUUACCAAGGCGACGACGGGUAGCCGG
rnacentral:rRNA from 1 species